GGGAGGGGUUGCCUGGCAGAAGUCAACAGAACUCCAAAAGAAUACGGGAAUUGUCAAGCACACUUAUAGUUCAGGAACUCUAGAAGCUGAGGCAGGAGGAUUGCUUAAUUCCAGGAGAUCAGGGCCCACCUGGGCAACAUAGUAAGUCUCCAUAGUCUAAAAUAAUAAUAAUAAAAAUAAUGAUAAUAAUUUUUUCAAGGAGAGCACGGGGAAUGGCGGGUAUAACGGCAGCCACUUCUCCAGUGGUCCUGCGCGACAGUAGCAGAGGAGUUUCAGCGGCUGCAGAAAUCAGCGCGGAUGCGUCAGCAUCGGGAAGAAAAAGCGCUUUUCUCAGACUGUCUCUGCAAGCGCCCCCUCCGGUUUUACAAAGGCUUUGAAGUUUAGAGGUUAUGCAUCUGGAACCAGCCAAGAGUAGUCAAGUUCUUAGCAAACGAGACUGGCUUCCCCGCAGGCUGUGUUACUCAUCCGAAGCUGAAGACCUGAGGGACGCUGUACCAGUUUCCAAAGUCCCUUCUCUGUACAACUCCUGUCUAGGACUCUGUGCUGCAAACUAGAGCUGCCUUGGUCUUCCUGGGCUGCAUUCCUUCCCUUCCUCCCCUCAGAGACUCUGACUCGCAGGCUGCAUCUCCCACACCCAAUCCUGGAAUUUCCACCCACGAAGCUGCGUGGUCUUGGGGCUCGCUUCAUUCGUGUUUGCCCUCUCAAAUAGCACCCCAGUUUUACCUCUUCUCCUGUGUCUGAUUAUCAGUAACAGGAACUAUUCUUUUAUUUAUUUAUUUAUUUUUUUUUCCGAGACAGGGUUUCUCUCUGUAGCCCUGGCUGUCUUGGAACUCACUCUGAAUAUCAGGCUGGCCUUGAACUCAGAGAUCACUUGCCUCUGCCUCCUGAGUGCUGGGAUUAAGGGUGUGCAUCACUAUUGCCAGGCUAUGUGUUUAGCUAUUUAAGACAAAAAGAGAAGAAAAUGGUCCCUGUACUCCAUCAGGACACAGUCCAGAGGUUUAUGGAGUGGGAUACAGAAUGGGCACAGUGAGAGAAUACGUGCUUAGCGCUUUGGAAGCCUGAAGCACGCUCUCAGUGUCAAACACACAACAAAGCUGAGACUGCGUAAGUGGCCGCGUGGAUAGGGACACUUACUGCUCUUGCAGAGGACCUGGGCUCAAUUCCCACAGCCAGCUAGGAGAUCUCUAGACCUAGGGGGUCUGACAUCCUCCUACAUGCACGUGGAACACUUACAUACACUCAGGCUCACACACAUUAAAAGAUAGAAUCAAUACAUACUUUCUUUAAAGAAAAUUCUAGUCUGGGUGUUGUGGCCCAUGUUUUUAAUCCUAGCUCUCAGGAGGCAGAGUCAAGUGACUCUCUGUUAAUUAAAGGUCAACUUGGUCUAUAUAAUAAGUUUGAGGCCAGCCAGGGUUGCGUAGUGAGUCCCUGUCUCAGAAACAAACAAAAAUAAAACCCAAAAAUCAAACCCAAGACCAUUACACUCAAAACCACCUGUGAUUU
rnacentral:lncRNA from 1 species